CACCAUCACGUGACCACAAUAUCAAACUAACGUUCACUACUGGGUUGACUGAUGUACCUGUAAAUCUCCUGUGGGGGGGGGGGAAUAUAAUAAAAGAGGGGUGAGUAUAAAACUCAGUGAGCUCAGUGAGUGGAUAGUAGGUGCUGAUACUUUAAUAAAUUAUUCAAAAUCAUUUAAUCUUUCUCAAAUCUUUUCUUAAAUCAAUUUCAAUUUCGUAAAUCAAUUCUCAAGUCAAUUUCUCAAAAUAUCAUAAACUCAUUUAAUUCAAAUUGAAUAACUGCAAUAAUAAAUCUGCAUAAAAUCGAUGAAAUCACCAUACUCAUAUCAAAUACUGAAUACUAAAAACUGUCAUCAAACAAGUACCUAGGGGAUAAUCUGAUCAUAUCCGGGCUACAACGCCCAAGCAAUGACGCACUAUCUGGGUAACGUCACGCCCCGGAGCCACAACGGAUAGAUGGGGACGAUCUCAUCUCAUAUCUCAUAUCUCAUAUCUCAUAUCUCAUAUCUCUUAUCUCAUAUAUCUGUACUGUGCAUGCAUAAGCCCCCAAAAGGCAAAAGUGCCCGAACACACGGCCCAAAGCCUCUAUGUGUGUCCCGACGGGCCCCAAAGGCCUCUAUCUCAUCUUAUCUGUAUCUUUUUUCUGUAUCUCUUUUUAUCUGUAUCUCUGUAUCUGGAGGGAAAUGUACUGUCUAAUGAUUUCAAAACUAAUAGUAAACAUAUGAUCCCAUCUGAAAUCUCAUUUUUUUUUCUAUUCAACAUAUCUCAAAUCUGCUCAAUUCUAAUAUCAUGCUUUUACUCAAAAACGAUAAGAAAAUCAUAAAUCGAACUCAUUCUCGAUCAUAAUAAAUAUCAACACAUAAAUAAAAAUCAAUUCGCUGGAAAAUCAUUAAAUCAACGCAUUAAACAUUUAUUUCUCAAACAUACUGUACUAUAUAAGAAAAUCAGCAUAUAUUAUGAAAAUAGGUUUUGUAUAUUCCACUCAC
rnacentral:lncRNA from 1 species